AUUGAACGCUGGCGGCAGGCCCAACACAUGCAAGUCGAGCGGAUGAGCGGAGCUUGCUCCAUGAUUCAGCGGCGGACGGGUGAGUAAUUCCUAGGAAUCUGCCUGGUAGUGGGGGACGACGUUUCGAAAGGAGCGCUAAUACCGCAUACGUCCUACGGGAGAAAGUGGGGGAUCUUCGGACCUCACGCUAUCAGAUGAGCCUAGGUCGGAUUAGCUAGUUGGUGGGGUAAAGGCCUACCAUGGCGACGAUCUGUAGCUGGUCUGAGAGGAUGAUCAGCCACACCGGGACUGAGACACGGCCCGG
rnacentral:rRNA from 1 species